UCAAACCCAGAUUCGUGGUUUAGCCAGACUAGCCAUGAAUCAUAAACAACAAAGCUUGGCUAUGGCUUGUGGUUAGUCUGGUUAGAGCUAAACCACGAGCCUGUGGUUUG